UGGGUAACGAGCUUUAACUCCCAACCCCUGUGACAUACCAAUUGUUGCCUCGGCGGAUCAGCCCGCUCCCGGUAAAACGGGACGGCCCGCCAGAGGACCCCUAAACUCUGUUUCUAUAUGUAACUUCUGAGUAAAACCAUAAAUAAAUCAAAACUUUCAACAACGGAUCUCUUGGUUCUGGCAUCGAUGAAGAACGCAGCAAAAUGCGAUAAGUAAUGUGAAUUGCAGAAUUCAGUGAAUCAUCGAAUCUUUGAACGCACAUUGCGCCCGCCAGUAUUCUGGCGGGCAUGCCUGUUCGAGCGUCAUUUCAACCCUCAAGCCCCCGGGUUUGGUGUUGGGGAUCGGCGAGCCCUUGCGGCAAGCCGGCCCCGAAAUCUAGUGGCGGUCUCGCUGCAGCUUCCAUUGCGUAGUAGUAAAACCCUCGCAACUGGUACGCGGCGCGGCCAAGCCGUUAAACCCCCAACUUCUGAAUGUUGACCUCGGAUCAGGUAGGAAUACCCGCUGAACUUAAGCAUAUCAUAGCCCGGAGGAAA
rnacentral:rRNA from 1 species